AUUGAACGCUGGCGGCAUGCCUUACACAUGCAAGUCGAACGGUAACAGGUCUUCGGAUGCUGACGAGUGGCGAACGGGUGAGUAAUACAUCGGAACGUGCCUAGUAGUGGGGGAUAACUACUCGAAAGAGUGGCUAAUACCGCAUGAGAUCUACGGAUGAAAGCAGGGGAUCGCAAGACCUUGUGCUACUAGAGCGGCCGAUGGCAGAUUAGGUAGUUGGUGGGAUAAAAGCUUACCAAGCCGACGAUCUGUAGCUGGUCUGAGAGGACGAUCAGCCACACUGGGACUGAGACACGGCCCAGACUCCUACGGGAGGCAGCAGUGGGGAAUUUUGGACAAUGGGCGCAAGCCUGAUCCAGCAAUGCCGCGUGCAGGAUGAAGGCCUUCGGGUUGUAAACUGCUUUUGUACGGAACGAAAAGCCCUGGGUUAAUACCC
rnacentral:rRNA from 1 species